GAUGAACGCUGGCGGCGUGCUUAACACAUGCAAGUCGAACGGGAAACCUUUUAUUGAAGCUUCGGAGAUUUAGCUGGUUUCUAGUGGCGGACGGGUGAGUAACGCGUGGGUAACCUGCCUUAUACAGGGGGAUAACAACCAGAAAUGGUUGCUAAUACCGCAUAAGCGCACAGGACCGCAUGGUCCGGUGUGAAAAACUCCGGUGGUAUAAGAUGGACCCGCGUUGGAUUAGCUAGUUGGCAGGGUAACGGCCUACCAAGGCGACGAUCCAUAGCCGGCCUGAGAGGGUGAACGGCCACAUUGGGACUGAGACACGGCCCAGACUCCUACGGGAGGCAGCAGUGGGGAAUAUUGCACAAUGGGGGAAACCCUGAUGCAGCGACGCCGCGUGAAGGAAGAAGUAUCUCGGUAUGUAAACUUCUAUCAGCAGGGAAGAUAGUGACGGUACCUGACGAAGAAGCCCCGGCUAACUACGUG
rnacentral:rRNA from 1 species